rnacentral:rRNA from 1 species
AUUGAACGCUGGCGGCAUGCUUUACACAUGCAAGUCGAACGGCAGCGCGGGCUUCGGCCUGGCGGCGAGUGGCGAACGGGUGAGUAAUGCAUCGGAACGUGCCCAGUAGUGGGGGAUAGCCCGGCGAAAGCCGGAUUAAUACCGCAUACGACCAUAUGUUGAAAGGGGGGGACCGAAAGGCCUCGCCGUUUUGGAUGUCCCUAUGUCGGAUUAGCUGGUUGGUGGGGUAAAGGCUUACCAAGGCGACGAUCCGUAGCUGGUCUGAGAGGACGACCAGCCACACUGGGACUGAGACACGGCCCAGACUCCUACGGGAGGCAGCAGUGGGGAAUUUUGGACAAUGGGGGCAACCCUGAUGCAGCCAUGCCGCGUGAGGGAAGAAGGCCUUCGGGUUGUAAACCGCUUUUGUUCGGGAAGAAAUCCUCUGGGCUAAUACCCCGGGGGGAUGACGGUACCGGAAGAAUAAGCACCGGCUAACUACGUG